UUAGCAAAUUAUAUACCAAAGUUAGCCCUUUGACUAGAUUGCUAGCCUUCUAAAGGAAAGACUGAUUCCUUAUCCAUUCUGAAUUUCUCUGGCUAUACCUCCAACAAAAGCAGGAACCAAAAGGACAUGGAAACUGAAGCUCACGAUAUCCCAGGGUUAAUAAUCCCUCAGAGUAAAGGUUGGCUCCUGGGCUCUGCCUACCUCUGCAUGGAAACAGGAGAGUUGGUUUAUGAACUGCGUCGAUGAGAGCGAACCUGUGGAAGGAUUACAGAAGCUGGAUUAGAAAUGAGGAGGACAGCCAGGACAAGUAAAGAAGGAUGCAUGGACAGGAAAUCUACAGAGAAGAGAACUAAGAAGGAGUAAUUUAGUUCUUGUUUACAUGGUCAGAUAUUUGCAUUCGGCCCCUGGGAGCAACACUUUCUCAUUCUGGACACACUUUUAGGAAGGGGAGCAGUGAGGAGAGGCUAACAACAGAUUUCUACAGAGUCAGUGUUUCACUUCAGCUGCCUGAUGAAGAGUGACAGGGACACUGCAAGAGUUUCAGAUGGGUGUCAAGUGUGACUCAUGAAUAAAAAUAAGGAGCAAUCAAUUAUGAAUAUUUGCUUGCUAGAAACAAGAAUCUCAGAAAGGGAGGAGACUAUUUAUGUCCAGACAGUUUAGUGCCUGUCUAACUCAUCCCCCAAUUUAUGUUUUGAAUUCCAAUCUGAGUAUGCAUUUAGUUAAGAAUUGCAAAAUUUUUUUAAAAAUCCUGUGACCUGAAGAAAUUUGAUUCAUGAUGGAGAAGGGCCAGAUGUACGGAACCCUGAGUUUAUGAAAGAGUAUUCUGUGUGCACUGGCCUUAGUCCAUUUCACUACCAUUUCACUAAACUUCCCACUACCUGAGGCUUAACUUCUCAAUGCUGCUUUUUGGAUAAAGCUUGAACACUUAUGUACCCGGCAGGCAAAUCUUUCCAGAGCUUUUUACUGAAAUGCAUUUCCUCUUUGCCUCUUUACCUUCCAAGUAUGAAUGUUCAGCUCUAGCUAAACUCAACUGCUCAGGCCUCUCACGUUGCAACCUCUUGUUAUUUGUUCAAAUUGCUGCCCCAGCUGCAACACUCAGCACCUGGGGCCAAUCUGAGUUAUCUUCUUCCAGAAGGUCUCUCCUGACUCUUCAGCUAGAAGGAACAUCUUUUUCUGAAAGUGCCUUUUGGGUACAUAAGUUUUCUGGUAUAUGUUUUACAUUUCUCUUAAUAGCAGUAACUUUUGCAAAUGUCUAUAAGGUGUCUCUAAAGCUGUAUCAUUGUGUCUCACAUGGCAACAAGCAUUCACAACAGGGUAUCCUGCUUAGCUCCUCAAGUUCGGAGAAAGACUCUAACUUGGGGAUGGGUUAAUGAUACCUCCUUUUACAUUUGAUUUAUGUAAUGUACAGUCCUAAGAACAGUAUUUUCUUUGCAUGGCAUUGUUUAGAUCUGUACGUCUGUUAUUUCUAAUCUUCACACCCCUAAUAGUUGGUGCUCUUUCAUGUUUACAAAUAAGGAAUCUUAGAAAUUAAUCAGUUACUCAAGAUCAUGCAGCUCAUAAGUGUCUAAGCCUGGUCUCCAUUCCAGCCUCACUAGCCUCUAUAUCCUAUUUGCUUUCCACUGUGCCCUGGUCUUUUCCUGAUUUGAUCAUUUAUAUUUAAAACCAGAAUAAUUUCUUUACACAGAAAAUGUGUUGGAGUUUUUUUCUUUUAAAUACAAAGUCCCAACUUUUCACUCUGCCUACCCCAUCUCUCUAUCCCAAUGCUUUUUGUCUCUGAGAUACACGUCUGUUUUGCAUGUGGUAGGAGUUUCUGUGUACUUAAUACAAAUUCUGGAAAUCCUAGCUGGUGACUCCAGGAACCUCAUGGGAAAAACAAUAAGAUUUCUGAUGGAUGGUAACUUUAAUCCUUCCCAUCAUAGUCUCCUAGACCAGUGGGACAAAGGUUACCUACCCCACCCUCAAGGGAGUACACCAAAGGAAGGAGCUCAAAGAAGUGACAGACUUUUUGGAGACACACUUGCUCCAAAGAUGGUUUAGUGUCAGAACAGAGUGAAAACUUUCAACAAAUCUCUGCAUCUACCCCUUAAAUUAUUCUCUAAUCCAAACACUAGAAAUUUAUAGCCUGAUGGUGUGUGAAAAAUAUUAACAUAUACGCAUUCAGUUUUACCACUAUCUGCUUACCCAGUAAGAUAGUAUUACAGACAAUAGUUUAGAAUGCAAUUUUGCCUUAGUUGAUAUUCCAUUUCUGCUGCUUACUUACUUGUCUGACCUUGCCUCAAUGCUACUAUCUAUUUACAAAGUGGGGUGAUGUUAUUACUUAUUCCUUAGAGUUGUUGGCAUUGGAUUAAAAGAGUACAUGGCACAGAAGAAGUACACAAAAUGUUAGCUACUUUGAUUAUUAUUGCUUUCCAGAACUUUAUGGUGAUGAUUGAAGUAAUGGAUUAGAAGAAAAGAACUGAAAGAAGAAUGGCUGUUGAUUUAAAAUUAUUAGGAUCGGGGUAACAUUCAUACACAUAAAAUUCACCAUUUUAACCAUUUUAAGUGUAUAAUUCAGUGACUUUUAGUAUAUCUACAAUGUUGUCCAACCAUUACAACUGUCUAGUUCCAGAACUCUCUCCACACUCCGAAAUGAAAAUCCAUGUCUUUUAAGCAGUCAGUCCCCAUUCUCAGCCCCUGGCAAUCACUAAUUUGCUUUCUAUCUUUAUGAAUAUGUCUAAUUACGUAUAUUUCUUUUAAAUGGAGUUUUACAAUAUGUGGUCUUUUUGUCUAGCUUCUUUCACUUAGGGUCAUAUUUUUAAGGUUUAUUCAUGUUGCAGUAUAUGUCAGUACUUCAUUCCUAAGUUAUGGCUGGAUAAUAUUUUGUACAUAAUGUUUUGUUUAUGCAUUAAUCAGUAGAUGAAUAUUUGAGUUUUUUCUACCUAAAUGUCAGCAUUGUCUAAAAAAAAAUUGAAUAUAGUGGAGCAGCAGAAUAAGUAGAUUAUAUUUUGGCUAUUGUGUUUUUUCCAUUCUUUUACUUUCAACUCAUUUGCAUCUUUGGAUUUUAUAUGAAUUUCUUAUAUAUACCAUAGAGUUAGAUCAUGUUUUUUAUCCAUUCUGCCAAUCUUUGCCUUUUAAUUGGAGAGGUUAAUGCAUUUACAUCAAAUAUAAUUGCUGAUAAGAAAGAACUUACUGCUGCCAUUUUGAUAUUUAUUUUCUGUAUGUCUUUUAUCUUUUUUGUUCUGCAUUUCCUCCAUUACUGCCACCUUUUGUGUUUAAUUAAUUAUCAUUUGGAUUCUCACUUUUUCACUGCAUAUUUUGUAGACAUUUUCUUAGUGGUUACUCUAGGGAAUACAAUUAUAAUAUUAACCUAUAAUAACCUAGUUUAAAUUAAUAGCAACUCAAUAGUACAGGCAUACCUUGUUACAUUGUGCUUUGCUUUACUAUGCUUUGCAGAUAUUGUAGUUUUCAAAUUGAAGGUUUGUAGCAAUCCUGUAUCAAGCAAUAUAUUGGUGCCAUUUUCCAACAGUAUGUACUCACUUCAUGUUUCUGAGUCACAUUUUAGUAAUUCUCACAAUAUUUCAAACUUUUGAUUAUUAUCAUAUCUGUUAUGGUGGUCUGUGAUCAGUGAUUGUUGAUGUUACUAUUGUAAUUGUUUUGGGGUGUACAAAACAUGCUCAUAUAAAACAGCAAACUUAAUAAAUGUUGAAUAUGUACCGACUG